rnacentral:ncRNA from 1 species
UAUGUUGGGGUGCCGGAAGGCUGAGAUCAUACCCAUUGACCUGAACUAGGUAAUGCUAGCGGAGGGAGACGGC